rnacentral:lncRNA from 1 species
ACUUGACGAGUGUUUUUGUAAUUAAAAUACACACAAAAAUAUCACCAACAGAGAGUUUAGCUACACUGCCAAAUUCUCAGUCCUUAUAUAUGAAUUUCUAGAUAUUAAUUAUGAGAAAUCUUUUAAAAUGGCCGCAAAUUAUGGGUACUUUUAGUGGUAAGAUUUAAAUUUCGCUAUUGAAAAGAGAAGAUGAUUUCUGUGGUGACCUUCCAAUAAAUAUACAAAAUGUUAACGGUAGGGGUGGAAACGAGCCGAGCUCGAGCGAGCUUACUUCAGCUCAAGCUUGGCUUGAAAUUAAUUUCGAGCCUAAAUUUAGGCUCAAGCUCGGCUUGAAAUUAAUUCGAGCCGAGCUCGAGCGAGCCUAAUUUCGAGUCGAGCGAGCUCGAGCCCUAAACGAGCCGUUUGAAAUUCUUAACAUCGUGCAAUCUAUAGUUUAAUUUUUAUAAAAUAUUAUCUAAAAUUCGAUACAAAAAAUAUCUAAUAGCUCAACAUACAAAAUGAAUGCAUGAAAUAUGAUAUUAUAAUAUUAAAAAACUUAGGAAAAGUGACUCUAUGAGCGAGUGAAAAAGAGAGAGAGAGAAAGAGAGAGCGCAAUUAGAGUAGGAUUUUGCUGGUUUGGUUUUGUAGGCCCAAUAUUAAUCUAAAUUCUAUAUACACAUAAUUAAAAUACAUAAUAUAUAUUACUUUAUAUAAUUAAAAUAUAUAUAAUAUAUAAUUAUAUAUAGAGAGAGUUCAGCUACUACACUCAUAUCAGUAUAGUCCCUUUUAUACUCAUAAAUUUUCGAUCGUUAAAUCUAUCCUUUUGGCAAUUUUCAUCUGUAUAUCAUACUAUUCAACCAACCACCCAUUAAAUCCUAGGGGACCACUAUCAUCCUAAUUAAUUGCACAUCCAACGGUAAAAAAUUUAUAAGUAUAAAGGGGUUUAUACUCAUAAGAAUAUAGUAGGCCUUAGUUAUAUAUUAUAUAUAUAUAUAUAUAUAUAUAUAUAUAUAUAUAUAUAUAUAUAUAUAUAGAAUUAGGUUACUAUACUAUUAAUAGUACCAACCGUUUGCUAUUAGGUUUUUAGCCCUUAGAUGAAGGGAUAUUUGGUCAGGAUGAUAGUACUAGGGUUGAGGAGGUGGCUAGUUGAAUAGUAUGAUCUAACGGAUGAAAAUGGCCAAAGGGGUAGAUCUAACGGCAGAAAAUUCGAUAGCACUAAACGCUUGGUACUAUCGAUAAUAUAGUAGCCGGACUCUAUAUAUAGGUAGAUCUAAUAGCAGAAAACUCGAUAGCACAAAACGAUUGGUACUAUAGAUAGUGUAAUAGCCAGACUAUAUAGAGAGAGAGAGAGAGAGAGUUCGGCUUCUAUAUUAUCGAUAGUGCCAAAUGUUUAAUCCUAUCAAAUUUUAUGCCAUUAGAUCUACCACUUUUGUAACAUACCGAAAUAUAGGUGGAAUAUAUUCGACUUUAGCCAAAUUGGCCAAAGUGCCAUAAAGAAAUAGUUGCACAAGUUUCGUUAACAUUCCAACCAUGUUGGAAGGGUUAAAAAGGAGUUCUAAAAGAAUUAAAAAGGUUUUAGCGAUAAUGAGAGCUAAAUAGAGUCAAAAAGACGCGAAAAAUAGAAAUCUGGAGCUUGUGUACCGGUACCAUGUGAUGGCUGUACCGGUACAACCAUCGCUAACCAAGGGAGAAAGCUCUCAGGUUUGAGCUGGAAAAAGGCUGUGUACCGGUGACAAAAUUUCGUGUACUGGUACAGUGCACCGUGGACCACCGAAAAAGACUGUUGUACCGGUGACAGGAACCCGUGU